GAGAGAGAGAGAGAGAGAGAGAGAGAGAGAGAGAGAGAGAGAGGCACGUGCACGUACCAUGGUGGCGCCCGCGACGGCUACGGAGGCAGCGGCGAGGCGAGGAGCGCGACUGGCGGAGGUGCGGCCGUGGAGGCGGCGCUUCUAGGGCUUGCGUAGCGAGGGGGCGGGUGGGAGUGUGAGGAGCGCGGCCGCGCGGGCGGUGGCCUCUCGCCGGACCGGGAGGUGCAGGCGCGCCGCGCGGGGAGAGGGGAGGAGAUUUGCGAGUGCGGGCCUGCGGGGGGAGACGAUUCCGGUGGAGAGGCGAGUGGAGACUGGAGCCCAAUUUUUUACAAUUUGAUUCUUUUUUUUAAAAAAAAAUUCCUUUUUCAUCCUAGAAAACCUAAACGCAGUUUUGGACCCAUGGCGUCGACCCCAUGGGUCCAAAACUGCGUUUAAGUUUUCCAGGGGUCUAAAAAGGAUUUUUUUUUCAAAAAAAGAGCCAAAUUGUAAAAAAUUAGGGGACUGGAGAGUGGAGAGGUAGCAAACGGGCUAACGGGUCUCGUAGCUACUGUGGAUUGGAUCCUCCGUGUGUUUUUUGGUUGGCCUUUUUGGAUCGUGGGUUUGCGUGCAUAAGGGUUUAGCUAGGCUUGUGGAAUGUAACCUGAAACUUAUUUCGUUGGCUGGAUGGCCAGCUAGCCAAGCUCCAGCAAGCCCAAAUCAAGGGAUUUAGUUUUCUUGAUGGAAACAACCGAUUCGGUUGUUCUCCGCAAGCCUAGCUUGGCCAGCCCUCGCAGCCGUAUCCGCUCACCUCGAGCGCAGCAGGCUCGUAUCCGCAGACCGAUGCGACCUCGACGUCUUCCUCGCGUCAGCAGCCGUGCGCGACCCGUGCGCCGGCAAUGACAACUUCACCGCCCUCUCGGCUGCCUUCCCACGGGCGCUCUCCGCCCGGACCCCCCCCUCCUCCCUCCCUUCCUUCUCAACCUCUGUGCCACUGUCCCCGUUCACGUCCGCCUCGCCGGCUCCUCCUUUCUGGCCUCCUCCGGGCGGUCCCUCCCUUCCGUCGUCAACACCGCCGUCUCAUCAGCUCACUUACUCUCCAGCCGCCGCCCACACCAUCUCGCGGUCUCCCACACCCUCCACCUUGAUGUCACCAGCCCCGUCGCGGCGUCCAAGCUCACCUCGAGCCCGUAUCCGCAGACCGAUGCGAACAACACGAGCGCAGCAGGCUCAUCCGCGCCCUCCGCCGUGAAGAACGCGAGCGCCUCAGGCCCUCGAGCUGCCUCUGCCCACCUCUUCAUCGACCUGUCCGUCGUCGGUGACCCCAACAACCUGCACGGGAAGAUGCGCGGCGGGAUGGGGCGCCUCGCCUCUCCCCCUCCCCCGACACCUCCGCCGGGAUGGGCGCCUCGCCCCUCCCUCUCCCCUGACACCUCCGCUGGGAUGGCGUGACUCGCCCCUUUCAGAUCGGCUGAGAGCUCGGCCUCUAAGCCUUCUGGUCCUCUGAAAGCCUAAGUUUGGUUUUAGUAAUUAAUGACACCAAGUUGCUAAUGCUUUAUGUUUAAGUGAACUGAGACAGACAUAGCAACACAUAUGAUGAAGGUGCAAGGUGCCAUAAAAAGGUGGUCACAUGAUCACAGAGAGAUAAAGCAUAAAGUGGAGAUCAUGGUGAUAAACAAAGAGUAAAGUGAACAAGGCAAAGGUAUAAACAUAGGGUUUUGCUUUUGCCGGUCUUAGUUGAGUAGAGAAGUGAUUGACCGGAUUUAGGAUUGAUAGCCGACUAUCAAGAGGGGAAAUCACGGUCAUCUCUUGAAUCAAGUGCUACUAUGUCCAUAUCUUGAGCAUAUGCAUUAGGAUCUAAUAAAAUACUAACCUAACUCCUUUGGGAAAAUAUUUGUGAAAUGUUAACACACAUGCACAUUAGUGGUGGACACUUGUUGGUGUUAGCACAUUUGCAAAGGAGGUAGAGUUUAUAGGGUUGAGAGGGGUUUGGGUUCCUCUCUCCCUCCCGCCGAGCUUGAGAGGCGGGAUUCGACGCUUUUAAGAAAAUUAAGUGUAUAUUUUCUAUUUGCGCCGGUGGAAAAUUUGGGAAAGUCGCGGGAGUGCUGGAUGUAGUGCGCGGAGGCACCGGACGCUGACCCUAGCGUCCGGUGUGCUGUCAGUGCGUGGCCCGGUUAGGGUUAAGCACCGGACGCAGGGUAUUCCCUGUUCGCGCGUCCGGUGUGGCCUGUCUUCAGCUGAGGUUUUCUAACAAGGCACCGGGUGCACUGGAGUGAGUCCGGUGCUCAGCGUCCGGUGUUAGUGCGGUUUGUAGACCUCUCUGCGCACGAGUCCAGUGAGGUCGUGAGUUUCACAAACUCUCUGCGUACGAGACCGCUGAGUACCGGACGCGUCCGAUGCUCACUUGACCGCGUCCGGUGGUCCGCAUGUGACCAUUGGAGUUCAACGCGCGAGAUUCAAAGAGUUGACACGUGGCCAACACCAGAGCACCGAACGUAGGGGGUCGAGCGUCCGGUGGCUCCCUGUGGUGAGUCCAGUGCCGCCGAUUUCAGCCCAAUGAAAAUGGCCAACGACUCUUUUGUUGAGGGGGAUUAUAAAUAGGAGGUGACCAUCUUUAGAAGGUUCUCUCUUGCACAUUUGAUUACUUGAGGCAUACAUUAAGCUAAAGAACACUCCCUCCACUCAUCUCCUUGCUUGAUUGCUAAUCCUAGUGAGAUGAGUGAGAUUCAAGUGCAUUGCUUAGUGAGUUGCAUCUAAUGUCACUUGAUUCUUGAGUUUGCUGCAGAUUUCUUGUUACUCUUAGGUGUUUCCCGACACUCUAGACGGCUUGGAGCAGCGGUGGUGUUGAGCUCGUGAUUGAAGAUUGUUUCGAGCCUCGCCAAGUGAUUUGUGAGGGGUUCUUAAGCCUUCUCCGCGGAAGAUUGCAAUUGGCUACUCUAGUGGAUUGCUCGUGGCUUGGAGGAUCCCCAUCUUAUGAGUGGAUGUGCGACACCCGCUGAGGGUUUGGCUUUGGAUUACCAAUUAGCUCGUGAUCCAUCAAGUGGGUGUAUUGCCACAACAAGGACUAGCUUGCCGGGAAGCAAGUGAACCUCGGUAAAAAAUCUUGUGUCAUCUCUUGCCGAAGAUUCUCCUUGUGAUUGUGAUUGUAAGUAAUUGAUUGGAUAUAUCUCUACUCUACAACGUUGGUAUAACAAUCACACUCCUCUCCAUUACUUUCUUGCACAACUUACUUGUUGUAUAGCUUGUGUAGCUUAGUCUUCUUACAUAGGAGUGUAGUUAACUUUAGUUGUGCUUUGUUGUUGUGACUUAGUGUUUAGCCUUCUUGCUAGACUUGUUUAGGUGGCUUGCAUAGCUUAGUUGAGUUAGUGCUAGAAUAGCUUCACCAUUUGUUUUUACUAAUCAACUUGUCUAGUUGAGUUUGUAGAGAAUUUUAAAUAGCCUAUUCACCCCCCUCUCUCUAGCCAUUUGGACCUUUCAUCCUCUUCCAUCUUUUCGACUCGGCCUUCUUCUCCAGCUCGCAGCUCAUAGCGGCGUGGUGGCCCAUUGCCAUGGUUGCCGAGGUGCUUAUCCACCAUGCCCACAACAUGUUCGACUAAAGUUCUGAAAGGGGGUAAAAUUAUCAGGUGAAGAAAGAGGUGAGUCUAUUCAAACUAAACCAGGCAACCAAACACACAUAUUCUUAGCCAAGCUUAGCCAGUACAUGCAACCAAACAUGUGCUACUUGCAUUAGUUAAAGCUGGCCAGAGCUAGCCUGUCUUAGUUUUGCUAGCAGGCUUGUCUAAGAAACGAACCAAGCACACCCGUAGUGAUUAAGCAAAGAUGGGUAGGUGUCUUUUAAAGUUCAAGGGCAACUAACAUUAGAUGGUUUUAAAAUUUUGAAAUUAGAUUGUUAUAGUCUCAAAAUUCAAACUCUAUUAUCUUUGAUUAGUAAUUAGUUCAAUUGCAUAAAAAGUUUAUAAUACGGUAGUGGUUACAUUAGGCUUGUAUUUAGAAAUACUUUCUAAUGAUCAGAAUUUUAUUAUAUAAUACAUUACUAGUAUAGAUAAUAAGAAAAAAGACUGUGAUAAGUUGAAUCAUAUCUCAUAUUCUAGAACGGAUAGUAUAAAUAAAUUGUCCCUGGACGUUAUUGGUUGCAGUUUAUCCGAGAGAAGAUAUCUUAUGCAUUGGAGUUGACGUUUCAUGAUAGAAAAUCAAAUUGAUUCUAGUGCAUGCAAAUUAUAAGAGCAUGUUCAACAAUUUAGCAAAUGACUUUUAUAUCUAUAAUUUUUUUAGCAAAAUAAAAAAAUAAACUCUCUCUCACAGUUUGGUAUCUCAAUUCUCUAUCUUUUCUAUCUUGAUAUAUCACUUUGUCUAGCGCGCAAAUAUACGUGCAGUCUUCGUGCUUGGCGUUGGUCUUUCUCCUUAUGCUUAGUGGGGCCCUUUAUUUCGUUAGCGGAUUUUUAGGUUUUUAGAAACGAAUUUUUGUCAAACUGUUAGAGAUGAGAUCUUUUUUCUUCCUCAUAUUAUUUGGGAGUUGGCAAACAACAAUAUUUGGAGGCAUCUCCAACCGUUUUGGCAAAAUUUGUUUUCCAAAUCUUGAUGUUUGCCAACUCUCAAAAUAAGAGCAUCUCCAGGAGUUUAAGAGCAACUCCAAUAGUUUGGCAAAAAAAACUUGGCAAAUCUAGGCAUUUGGCAAGUGACUAAAACACAUAUAGCAAGUCAAAAAAAUUAGUAUAUCCAAAAAUUUGGCAUUUGGGCUUGACAAAAUUAGGCACAAGCACAAGCACACACACAUUUACGUGUUGCAGAUAACAUUUUCAUUGUUGAAUUGUGAUUGAAACAAUUUUUGGUUCAACUAUAUUCGGCCAUCAGCUCUUGCAUGAAAUAUGCACUUGCAUCAGCUCUGAAUGUGUGAAUGUGUGUGUGCUUAUAUUGACAGCCGUUUCAUCAUUGCCAAUCAUAUGCUUAGAUGCAUGGCCAAUCGCCUGGCAAAAAACGACAGAAACAGGUGUUGUUCCGGCGAACUGGAGCUGCAACUUCUUAGCCUGACGCGGGCAGGGAAGCCGAUGCCAAGUGAACCGGACCGUGCAAACAUUUAUGUGUUCAUCCGAAGGAUGCCAAGUGCGCAAAUUUUGCCAAGUGAAUUGCCAAACGGUUGGACCACCAUGGCGAACUGGAGCUGCAACUUCUUGGCCUGACAAGGGAUGCCGAUGCCAAGUGAACCGGACCGCGCAAAUAUUUAUGUGUUCACCAGAAAGAUGCCAAGUGCGAAAAUUGUGCCAAGUGAAUUGCCAAAUUGUUGGGCCGUGGUUUUUCAAGUUUUGUCAAAAAUCUAAGAAUAGCAAGUGCUUUUGCCAAACUAUUAGAGUUGCUCUAACAACUUCCUACCUUAAUAUUUUAGUAAAAAGAGAAAAAAAAUUUCCUCCAACAGUUUGGUAAAACAGCUUUUAAAAAAUAGAAAGUUCAACUCAUUAAUUCCAUAUUCUCUUUGAAUCUGUUUUCACGUCAUUUCUGAUAUAGUCCUCUCAUUCGACUAAGGGUCUGCAGCACUCAGCGGGACAGACAUGCAUCGAAGCCCUCGAGAGAAUGUGUUUCAUACAACCAGGUGGUGUAUUUUGUCGGCCGUAAUCUGUUGUACAACUUGUUUCCAAAGGCUUAAUGAUCGAAUGUAACUCUGUUUUAGAGGGCCUAAGCCCUAAGCUGCUUUCAGCCUCAUUCCUUGUAUAUUGUGCCUGGCGUUCUGCUCGAAUUGCAUAGUAUGUAUAUUUUGUGUUCCGUAGUUGUCUUGGACAGUAUCAGCUCAUGUUUUUAGUACAAGUCGUUUUUAGUGCAGUUGGCUAUUCAAUUUAACGUGGAUGAUAAGUACUGUAUACUUAUCAGAUGUAUAAUCGUGAUCAAUCAAUUUUGUGGUUUCUUUUACUUAGUAGUAUCACUUAAUUUUGUGUGAUCUUUUGUAAGGGUUCUAUUUCUUGUGGAACUCAUCAUUCACCAAAAAGUUAAUUUUAAGAUUCUUUAUCAUAUUAAAUCUUUGAACACAUGCAUUAAAUAUUAAAUAUAGAUAAAAAAAUAAUUAUUGUAUAGUUUGUCUGUAAUUUGUGAGAUAAAUUUUUUAAACCUAGUUAGUCCAUUGUUGAAUAAUAAUUAUUAAAUAAUUUUUUGAGCAUGUUAGUUUAUGUUUAGAUAAUAAUUAUUAAAUACAAACAAAAGUGCUACGAUAACCGAAUAAAAAAACGCGAACUGGAGUGUUUGGGACUACUCUACAAACUCCACUGUGAAGUAGCUCCAUAAAAAACUAGAGUUUGCGGAGUACCUUUUUAGGUGCUUUCACAACUCCACCUUUUUUUCCUCGAACUGAGUGCGUAGAGAACUGAGUGCGUAGAGCUGAACCGUUUGGCUAAAUAACAUAAAGCGGAGCUAAAAAAACGUGAGACAAAACAAUCCCAAACACCCUCUAAACAAGGCAAAAGUUCGCGAACGAAACAAGGCCUUGGUAAUGCACUCCGGGUAACUCAAAUCAAGUGCUUACAAAUGAGCCCAAUUUGGCCGAGUUUAAUAGCCCGGUUAGGCCAAAUCCCUAGACGUAGAGCUAGCCUUGCCUAGCCUCCUGUCUGCUGUCACGUAGCUAUAAUACCUACUUAUGACUCAGGAAAUAAUUUCCAGCUUUGCCGCCACUGUCACUCCGGCCAGAUAGCUGCACAACGGAGUCGGAUAUAGAAGUAGCCAUCACAAACAAAACAUAGCACAACACAAAUUGCUCACAAUUAACUAAACACGCUAUUGAAAACAUAUGCUGUAAACUUAUUAUUCGCUAGCACUGAAAAGGUGUAACACUGAUACAAAGCUCCCAAGUCCGAUGUACAUCACAGGUAAAACAUUCUCAGUUCGACAAGCUACUACUCUAUGUACCCUGUAAAAUAUCACUCCUCCGAUCACCAGUCAUAUCCCAUCUCGGUGAAACAAGAGUACCUCUGAUGAUAAGCUAUAAAAUGUCUUCGAGACCUAAAGACCUGAUCUACAUGUAAAAAAGGAAGCACAAAAUUUCCUAUAGGGCACAAAGAUGAAGUGUUAAGAAAAAUGGCUUGCAUGUACUCUAGAUAGCAGUCAGCAACCUGCAAUAAGAUUGGUUACUUGUAUUAUAGUUUUAACAUGACUAAAAAGGUUCUAUGGUACAUGAGUAAUUGUUUACUUGGAAUAGCAUCUGACCUUUACAAACUAAACCACUGAAGCAAAGUUGUUGUCCCAUUGAUCCACUAUUGCUCAGGAGUCAGCACUGCAAAAGAAAAGACAACCGUUAGAAGCAUUCUAGUGAAAUUGUGAACAUCAAAAAACUGGUAGAAAUCCAUAACAAAACAAGGGAAUGGUAGCAAGAAAGCAGGCAUCAGUAACAGAAACAGUAACAUUUUAAGCAAAACAUUCUAAGGAAUACGUUUAAAAAGCGUUUGACCAAGGUUGUAAUAAAAUUAAUGAAUCCUAGGUUGAUCAAAACUCCCUGAACUGCCAUACUGCUAAAGAUAAGGGCAACACAAGGUUAUAUCCAGAAUAGAUCACCUAGCAGGAGCUUCCUAAUAUCGUGCACUGGGAGGUAAGGCCAGGAAAAAUAAGGUAUUUAGGACUGUACACUUGCUCAACUACAGCUUUUAUGCUGAUGGUUCUUCAUUUUUCGUACCCCACUGUUCCUCACUACUGUUUCCAUUCACAAGGACAGCACCAUCAGUUGAACCCUCUGCCUCAACCUCAACAGCUUCAUCUUGACUUUCUUCUACUCCGUCAUCCUCUGCAUCAACCUCAACAGCAUCUUCUUGACUCUCUUCUACUCCAUCCUCAAUAACCUGAUCAACAACGAUCAAUGUUACCAGUUCUGCAAGAACAGUGAAUGGGAAGCAAUACAUACAUACAUAUAUAACAAAAAUCAUGAAAGAAAAUGGAAAAUGAUAACAGUACGAUGCUUGAACAGAAGCACGGAACUUUGGAAGUGCACACAAGUACACAACUAACCCUACUGAAAAUUUAUUAGAUAAUAGGUCAACAAACUAGAAACUAACAGGAGACAGUCCUGUACCAUUUAUAGCAACUCAGAGGUUCUCAUCUUUAUAGUCAAAACAUAUUUCUAUUAGUUUUAAGGUACGAAAUGAAACAGUGCAGAACAUCAUACUCAUAAGCAAAGAAGUUAAACUACCAGCAUGUUCCUAAGCAAUUCAAUUUAGUGAAACUACAAUAUGCACACUACUCCCUCCAUUCCAAAUUAUAGAUCACUUUAGCCUUGUCCCAAUUAAAACUUUUCUAACUUUGACCAAGUUUUAGGAAAAGCACCAACACAAUAUCAAAUUAGUUUCAUUAAAUUCUCCAUGGAAUGUCUUGAUAGUGCAUUUAUUUUGAAAUAGUAGAUGUUAGCAUAGUUUUCUAAAAAUUUGGUCAAAGUGAGGGAAGUUUGACUUAGGACAAAACUGAAGCGACCUACAAAAUGAAAGAGGGACUACAGAUUACCAUAUUGUCAAGAUCAAAAUUAGGAUAUUUCACAUAGUAAAUAAGAUGCAACUAACAUCAGAUAACCACCAAACCCUUUUUUUUUUGCGAGGAAUAAAUCAUAAUAGUACCUCAUGAACAGUAUCUUCAUUAUCAUCUGGUACCAUCUCUUCAUGUACAUGCAUAUUUUUAAAAGCUUCCACUAAACUCUCAUUUGACCUUUCAGCAUGAAUCAUGUACUCCUCGGCCGGUGGAUAGAUACCCCUGUUCAAAACGUGUUUUUUAUGUGUGUCGGUAAAAGAUAAUAGCUUGGAAAAAUAUAUGAGUAUCGACAUCACUUCUGCUUUUCAACAGAUGAGUGCAAUUAAAGCACCCUCAUCUGAUGCAAGAGGUAAUCGGAGACAACACAAAAGGAUACAGUUACAUAUGAAGAUAAAAAGAACAAAAACCUUUUCGGGGCAACAACAGCUUCUACAUUGAGAGCAAUCUGCCAGUCGUCAAAUAAGUUUGGGUACUCAUUAGGAUCAGCCAGCGACUCUGCUGCUUUUGGGUUUACCUAAAAAAGCAAAUGGAACAAAACAGUGCACAUUUCAUAAACUUAGACCUGCAAUUUGAAGACAGUGAUGCCCAAGUCUAAACUUAAGACAAAACAAAUAUCACAUGAUUUUAGCAAAUUAUUUAAUACAUAUCCACCCUGAAUUUAGUGUACUAAAAUUAUUAGGUAAAUUGUGCUGGACGAAAUUGAAAGCAUCCAUUACAAGUAAAUUCAGAAACAAUUCCAGCAGUGGACUGUACCAGGGUUAUGCUAAAAUAACAAUACCAUGCUUGAGUUUGUAACUUAAGAUGACAAUUUAUCCUGGGAUACAUGCACUAAGACCAAGUUAACCUAAUUAAGAUAUGCAGAAAGAUUUGAGCAUAAGACUGAGUAGAACAGAAGCAAAGGAGACUCAUAGGACAGAAGACCUUCUGGAGAUCCUUUUUCCACAAUGCUACAAUCUCAGGGACUUUGCUAGGAAGAUAAGAUCUUGCCAUCAAUGCUGCUUCCGGAAUACGGUUGCUGUACAAGGGAUAGUAGACGAGUCAAAAUAAGAAACAAAAAAAAUUAAGGUUAAGCAUGACAAUCUUGCCCAGAUGCCUAUUAUACCUUUCUAUUAGCAAUUGAAGACACUCUUCCAGCUUUCCUAGCAUGAAGAAACAAAGGAAAGAAACAUUGUUCUUUCCUUGUUCUUUGGCUACAGAUGCCAAUUUCUUAAUGCCAUCAGCAUCCCCAAGGGAAGAAUACAAAAGCAACAAACCACUGAGGUCCAUAGCAUAUAGAAGACACUCCUCUGCCAUCUCAAGCUGCAGAAAAUUGUAUGGCAUGUGAGUAAGCGACUUCAAGUUAAAUUUUUGCAUGAUUGCAUCAUAGUUUUACAUGGAACACUAUUUUGUUAAAUCUAAGGAAAUAGCAAUAAGCAUCUCCUUACCAUCAAACUUUUAAGUACCCUCGUAUUAUCAUAAAUAAUUUUCUGCUUCAUAAUAGCUAUUGUUUGUCCCAGUCACAAAUAACUAAUGCUUUGGACAGGACAUGGUCACCAAGAAACUACUUUUAAGUCUUUGACCACUAAAUACUAGUCCAAAAUGUAUGCAAAAUAUAGUGAAUUGACAUGUUGAAACUACUUUUGAAGAGACAUCUAGCAAUGAAACUGAUGAAUGCACGCAACACAAAAUGUUCAAAGGUUAUUCAUAGUGAAUCUAAACCUCUGCAAAAUAUAGCAAGUUUACAAAAGUUCAAUCAAAGUAUUCUUAGAGACAUUGAUGGUCAAAGUUUAAGCCUGUCAAAUUCACACAACAUAAAACGACACUUAUCUGUGUUGCCCAACUCAUAGAGAUUUGGAUCUGGGAAUGCCCAGAGGGCAGCUUGGCCCUUGGCCGCUUGGAUUGAAUCAAACUUGUGAUAACAGGAUACAAUAGAGGGAGGGGGGUCUGCCACUUAUAUAGCAAUGUGGUCAGACACCUACUCCAGAAUAUGCUAUAGCAAAAGUAAAGAUGCCUGCUCCAAACUUGGAUGCCAAGGCACUGCUACUACUAAUGCAGAAAUUAAGAUACAUAGCAAUUAGGCUUAACUAACAUUCUCCCCCUAAGCCUAAUGCUGGUUGAUCUGCUCCAGUCCAAUCCUCCUCCUCAUCUCCUGAAACUUGGCCUUUCCCAGAGACUUGGUGAGUAUGUCUGCAAGCUGAUCAGUAGUAGGGAUGUGGCUGGCCUUGAUACUUCCAUCUUCCAGGCAGUCUCUGAUGAAGUGGUACUUGAUUCUUAUGUGCUUGCUCCUGUCAUGGAAGACUGGGUUCUUGGCCAGAGCUAAAGCAGACUUGCUGUCCACCUUCAACUCCACCACAUCAACUUCUUUGCCCAGCAGCUCCCCGAGCAGUCUGGACAACCAUAGUGCUUGAGUUGCAGCAGAGGCAGUAGCAAUGUAUUCUGCCUCGCAGCUUGACAAGGCCACCACUCUCUGCUUGAUUGACUGCCAGCUGACCAGACAAUCGCCCAAGAAGAACAUAGUCCCACUGGUGCUCUUGCUUGUAUCGAUGUCACCGGCAAGGUCGCUGUCACAGUAGCCGAUGAACCGCGCUGUUCCAGGAGCCCUCUUGUAGUGAAGACCAUACUCCAGAGUCCCAGCAACGUAGCGGAGGAUGCACUUCACCGCCUGCAGAUGCUCCACCGUGGGCCGCUCCAUGAACCGGCUCACGUACCCGACGGCAAACGCCAAGUCCGGCCGGGUAUGCACGAGGUACCGGAGGCUGCCGACAAGCCGCCGGUAGUGCGUGGAGUCCACCUCCUCAGCCUUGCUCUCCCUGCUCAGGCGAAGCUUCUCUUCCAUGGGCGUGUGCGCCGGAUUGCAGCCAAUCAUCUCGCCGAGCUCGAGGAUCCGCUUGGCAUAGUGAGUCUGGCGGAGAGUGAUGCCCCUGGCAUCCUGACGCACCUCGACGCCGAGAUAGAAGCAGAGUAAGCCAAGAUCGCUCAUGUCGAACCUUUCCUUCAUCUGCGCCUUGAAGCUCUUGACCUCCUCCUCCUCAGCGCCGGUGAUGAUGAGGUCGUCGACGUAUACCCCGACGAGCAGGACAGAGCGUCCGCUGCCCCGCCGAUACACAGCCGCCUCGUGCGCGCUCUGGGUGAAGCCCAUCGCCUUCAGGGUGGCGUCCAGCUUCGCAUUCCAGGCGCGCGGUGCCUGCCGCAAGCCGUACAGGGCCUUGCGCAGGCGGUACACCUUGCCUUCUUCUCCGGCGACGGCGAAACCCGGUGGCUGGCGCACGUAUACCUCCUCCUUGAGGUCGCCGUUCAGGAAGGCGGACUUCACGUCCAUGUGAUGCACCGACCACCCUUCCUCAGCCGCCAGCGCGAGGAGGACGCGCACUGACUCCAUGCGCGCCACGGGGGCGAACGCGUCGUCGUAGUCGACGCCCUCCUGCUGGACGAAGCCCCGCGCCACCAGUCGAGCCUUGUGCUUGAUCACCGAGCCCUUCUCGUCCUUCUUGAGCUUGAAGACCCAUUUCAGGGUGAUCGGGCGAUGACCGGCAGGUAAUUCGACAAGCUCCCAGGUCUUGUUCCUCUCCACCGACUCGAUCUCCUGCUUCAUGGCGGCCUCCCACGCCGGAUCACCUCGUGCCUCCGCGUGGUUGAUGGGCUCGCCAGCGUGCGUGAGGUGGAGCUGGGCGAAGAGGCGCGGCGCCAGGUCUGGAAGAGACACAUCUCCCAGGAUGUUGGUCAUCUUGCGGUACCGGAGGGGCUCGUCGUCGUAGAAGGCGUCCAAGCGAUCCUCGUCAUCCUCCAGUGGCGUCGCGAGCUCGACUUGGGGCUGAUCGGUGGUCGGAGUAGUGGUCGGAGAUGGUGUCGCAGCAGCUCCAGGACUGCUCCCGUUCUCCCCCGGAGCUGGUGAGCUUGAUGGCGUGGUCGGAGAUGCUGAAGUGGUCGGAGUGGUCGGAGAUGGUGUAGGCGCGGCUGGAGCAACUGCGGUGGUCGGAGUGGUCGAAGCAGAGGAGGUUGUUGAGGAUUCGCCUCGUGCUCCUUCCUUCCCGCUGAACACCGCGUACUCGAUGACGAACUCCGUGUUCACUGGAGCUGCGUCCUCUCCAGCUUUCACCCAGUCCCAGCCGCGGCUCUCGUCGAAGAUGACAUCCCGUGACACGCGCACUCGCUGCGUCGCCGGGUCGAGCACGCGGUACGCCUUGGCACCGUCGGCGUACCCGAUGAAGAUGCCGGGGCGACUCCGAUCAUCCAACUUCUUCAGCUGGGUGAGGUCCUUGGUGUAUGCCACACACCCGAACGUGCGCAGGUGACCCACCGCCGGCGUCUUGUCGUGCCAUGCCUCGUAAGGCGUCUUGCCCUGCAAGCUCCCGGUAGGCGCUCGGUUCAGGAGAUGGACAGCAGUCACCACUGCCUCCCCCCAAUACCGAGCCGGAAGACACCUCUGCUUCAGCAGCGCACGAGCCAUGGCCACCACCGUCUGGUUCCGGCGCUCCACGACUCCGUUCUGCUGCGGCGAGUAGGGGGCGGUGUAGUGGCGCUCGAUUCCUUCAUCGGCGCAGUAGGCCGCAAACUCCAUGGCGGUGAAUUCGCGACCGUUGUCGGUGCGCAGCACCUGGAGCUUGCGUUCGCUCCCCUUCUCAGCUACAGCCUGGAGAUGUUUGAUGGCGUCCGCGGCGGCGUCCUUGGUGGUCAGCAGUGCCACCCACAUGUACCGCGUGGCGUCGUCGACGAGCAGCAGGAAGUAGCGUCUGCCGCCCGGAGUCGCCGGCGUGAUUGGGCCGCAGAGAUCGCCGUGGACGAGCUUGAGCGGCUCCUGCGCACGGUACUCAGCCUCCGCCGGGAACGGGGCUCGACGAUGCUUGGCGAGGACGCACGUGUCGCAGAACUGCCCGACGUGGGUGAUCGCCGGCAAUCCGCGCACCAUGUCGUUCUUGGACAGCUGCCGGAGAGCGUCGAAGUGGAGAUGACCGUAGCGCUCGUGCCAGCGCCAUGCCGCAUCAUCCUUGCGUGCGGCGAGGCAGAGUGGCUUGGCCUGGUUCAGAUGCAGGACAUAGAGGCGGUUAGCACCGCGGCGCACCUUGACGAGUAGCCGCCGGUGUCGAUCCCAAAUCCUCAGGACGCCGUGCUCGAUCUCCACCUUUGACCCCCCUUCGUCCAGUUGGCCGAGGCUCAUGAUCGAAUUCCUGAGCGCUGGGAUGAAGUAGACGCCGUGGAGCACCCGGUGCUCCCCGUUCUUCGCUUCGAAGAUGAUGGACCCGACGCCAUGGAUCUCCACCUUCGACUCGUCGCCGAACCUCACCGAUCCUCUGGCAGAAGUGUCCAGGUCGGUGAAGAGCUCGUGUCGGCCGGUCAUGUGGUGGGUUGCACCGCUGUCCAGGUACCAUCCGUCCAUCUUCUCUUCAUUGCCGGUGUCGAGGUAGGCGCGCGCACGGGGUUCUUCAAGCUCGAGGCAGCCGUUCUUGGCGCAGAAGAUUGAAGCUUGGGCCUUGCUGCAGCUCCCUUGUGCGUCGAGCUCCAGGAAGCCAUGCGCGAGGAAGGCGGCAGCGUCCUCAUCCACUUGGGCGACGUUGGCGGCGCCACCGCGCUCUCGGUUACGUCGGGGAUGAGGACAGUCUCGGGCCCAGUGGCCUGCUUGAUGGCAGUUGAGGCAGAGGUCGUCGCGAUUCGCCUUGUGCUCGCCGUCCGCACCUCCUGCCUUGUCCGCCUGCGCCCCUCCGCCACCGGCUCCGCAUCCGUCGCGAUCGCCGCGCGGCUUGUUCUUCUUGCCACCGCGAGGACGCCGUCGCUUGUCCUUGGACGGCCCGGCUGCUUCCGCCUUCUUCUUCUUGUCGAAGGCCCGCCACUGUUCGGCGGUGUACAGAAGCUUGCCGCCGGCGUUGGCGGAUUCGAGGUCGUCCGCCAGCUCUCGGUCCUGGACCGACUUGAGCCGGCCGGUGACGUCCUCGAUGGUGAGCGCGUCGAAGUCGAGCAGAGUCUCGAUCGAGUUCACGAUCUGCCUGUACCUCUUCGGCAUGCACCGGAGGAGCUUCUCGACGGCGCGUUCUUCGGUGAGGUCGGUGUCGCCGUUCAGCUUCAUCUGCUCCAUCAGACUGCUGAGGCGCACGGCGAAGUCCUCGACAUGUUCGCCGGGCUGAAAGGCGAGGCCUUCCCACUCCCCGCGAAGGCGCUGCAGUGUCGCGCGGCGUACCCGGUCACCGCCGACUCUGCGCAGCGCGAUGGCGUCCCACGCCAGCUUCGCCGUCCUCUUGUUGGCGAUGGAGGCCGCGAUGUCGAGCGGGACAGCGGCGCACAGAGCCUCCAAGGCCCGGCGAUCCUCCUCAUACGUGACGCCACCGACGUGAACUGCAUCCCAAAGAUGUCGAGCUUGGAGCUUUACCUUCAUCAGGAGGCUCCACUCGUGGUAGUUGCUCUUGGUGAGCAUCGGCCACGGCGUCCCGGCCCCGGAGUCGCGGUAGACCAUCUGCGGCACCGGCGAACGCCCGCGACGACCACGGCGCCGCUCAGGAGACGGCGACUGGCGGCGGCGCUCGGGGGUGCGCGAUCGCGAUCCCGCGGAGACCGCAUCCUCCUGCUCCAGCUCCCGACGCAGGGCGGCCGCGGCGUCAACUGCGGCCUGCGCCGCUGCUGCUGCCUGCUGGGCCGUGGCGGCCGCGGCCGCCGCCGCUGCCUCUGCGGCAGCAAGGCGCGUCCUGCGGUCAUCCCCCCCCGCGCCGAAGGCUCCAGCGCCCCGCUGCUCCACCGUGGAUGCUACAGCUGCUGCUGCUGCUGCGGCGGCGGCGGCCCGGACGCGAGCACUCUCGGUGGACAUGGCUCUCUCUGGGUAAACCCUAAAGCUCUGAUACCAAUUGUUGCCCAACUCAUAGAGAUUUGGAUCUGGGAAUGCCCAGAGGGCAGCUUGGCCCUUGGCCGCUUGGAUUGAAUCAAACUUGUGAUAACAGGAUACAAUAGAGGGAGGGGGGUCUGCCACUUAUAUAGCAAUGUGGUCAGACACCUACUCCAGAAUAUGCUAUAGCAAAAGUAAAGAUGCCUGCUCCAAACUUGGAUGCCAAGGCACUGCUACUACUAAUGCAGAAAUUAAGAUACAUAGCAAUUAGGCUUAACUAACAAUCUGCAACCAGAGGAAGUAGUAAUUAAGAAAACAUUAUGGCUGAACCACACUAUAUAAGGACAACAUAGAUAGCGGCAUUGCGCAUGCAAGAUAAACAAUACACCCGGUAGCUGUACCUUUCCAUUUGACAUAGCUAACUCCCCUAAUUGCUUCCACUUGGACUCACUUUGCACCUCGGUAGCAAUCGCCUGCAAAGCAACUACUAUUAGAAAAAAAUCAAAAAAUAAAUACUUUCAUGAAAUUGUGGAGAAGAAAAGAAAUCGAUUGUGCCUUCGCAAUUUCAAGUCGACCAAGCUGCACAGCCAGGUCAAAUUUGUAAUUAGUGUCAGUUGCUAUCUCGAGGGCUUCCUCCAACAUUCCCCGUGAUUCCAAGAAACGUGCCACACUGCAAAACGAAAGGUUAUGUUUCUAUGCUAAACCUGACUUGACACUACAAUAAUUACCAUGACAUUGAGCACCUGUCAUAUUGUUCCUUUGGUAUAGAUGAUAAAACAUCAUUCGCGCGAUCAAAAUCCCCACGCAUUACAAGUGUUUUAUACUCGAUCAAACUAAGGAGUAAAGUAUACCCCACAACACUGCAAUUAAAAGGUACAUUAGCCACAGAACUUGUGUAUGAAAACUACAUGUGAAAUUUAGGUAACAAAGAUGAACUCACUUAAAUUGCUUAUCAAUAAGAUAGACACGGCUUUGGUUUGCAAGAUAUCCUAGUAAAUACAUUGGCCGAUCCAAGUGAAACAAGGUUGUGACCUGUAACACAUGAAAUGGUUAUGACAUGAAAGCUCAAAAGAUAUAUAGGAUGUUUUUGUAAGUGACGAAAAAAACUCACCUCUCCUCCUACACAGUAAUUAAGCCGCCAUGAAGAAUUAUUGUAGAUGAAGCAAUCGCCAACCCAUAGCCCAGUGCGGACACGUUCAUUGAUCUCAUGAAGCAGUUCAAAGGCAUCUUCCACACCUUCCUCACCAGCUGAACCCCCUCCAUCCAAAUGAGAUGAAACUACAUCCCUCUACAAGGUAAAAGGAAACUUUUAUAUUAGUACAUUUCCAUUUGACCAAAAAAUAAUUGCUUCUUAAUUUGACAUAAAAAAAAGACACAAGAAAUGUCAACGGAACAUAGGUAAUUGAGGUAAUGACAGAACUCACAUUAUAUUUCAAAAUGUAGAAUGACGUAUCACUUGCAAUUGUUACUAAAUCACCACUGUCGGCCCAGUAAAGAUUCUACACAAAGAAACAUGUUUUCAGUGGCACAACAUUUCAAAUGGCAUGAAUGUAAAAACAGCUUUGAAAUAAUAAGGCAGCAAAUUCCAUACCUUCACAUUGACAUCAAUUCGACGUAUCAAUCUGCAAUCCACCCAAUCAUAGAAGCAAAUGAAGUCAUUUGUACACAUAGCAAGUAACACUCCACCAAAUAUCCGUUCAGCAGAAAAUGAUGGCCUUAUACUUUUCUUCUCCUGAAAAGACCAACUCUAGUUAACAGACUAUGUUCCAGGAACCCAUAACAAAAGAGAAUGGUGUAUGGAGUAUAGUAUGCUGGUUGCAAUUCAUUUAACAAUUUAGUUUGGAGCAGCACAGUAAAAUAGUUAUUUUACCUUUCCAUCAAACUUAACAAAAAAAGACAACACAAACUACAGUACAGUUUAUUUCAUAGCGUCUAUAGUUCAUCAUAGAAACUAUUGAGGCUACAAAUUGGAUAUGAGGGCCAAUUGACCAGACAUUUCAAGAUUAUCUUUUAUGGCAUGACUAAGCAUGUUACCAGGAACAGGUGCCCUACGGAUGUUUGCUUUAUAGAUAUAACUAAACUAAACAGUGUGCCAGGGAGAAGUGAAAUAUGUUACACUCAAACAAACCUGGAAAUUUUUAGUGUAUAUCUUUAUCCUCGAGGUGCUUUCUCUGAUGGCAUAUUCUCCAUCAGUUGACCAAACAACUUCAAGUGCGGUCCCAAAUGAUUUGUUUCUCCAUGCUAAUGCUGUGUAUAUUAUGUAAUCUCCAUCUCCGCAUACAACAACAAAUCUCCCAUUCGGAUUGUGCCUUAAGCUCUGAAACAAAUAUUGCACCAGUAUAUUAUUAACUUAAACCAGCACAAAUAAAAUAUGCAUGACCACAAAAAAGUUUAAAAAAAAUCAUGAUGGUUCAAACAUUCAAUGUUGUUCAAAAGAAUGAGCCAUUACCCCCUACCCAUAAACUGCCAUAGGCAUUUUUAUGGUCCCACUAAGUUACAGAGAAAUUUAUGGCACAAAUGAGCUAUCGCUGACCAAGAAGCAUUUCAAUUUGGUAUUUGAGUUUAACGUUAUUAUACUGAAAAAUGCAGCUAAAUAAACACAAUAUCCGGAUGCAUUUCCAAAAAUACAUGAUGAAUGUAUUAUCAUGACACCAUGUCUAUGUUACUUGGACAUUAAAAAGAAAAAAAUAGAACUAAGUUUCAAGUAUUUAGUUGACUUGUGAUGAAGAAGAUCACAACUGAAGCAUCCAUUUUAUCACAGGUAAACUUACUUGUGGAUAAAGAUCGCAGCUUCCCAACUCCUUCACGGCCAAUGGUAACCGAUCACCAUCUGCGAUCUAAAAAACAAAACAGUUAAGGACCACAGAGAAACCUUAUAAUAAGCUUAAUAAGUUUACAUCGCAAUAGCAUGGUGAACAAAGGCAACCUCAUUGUCUGCACCAACACUCUUGAUAUUAACAGUUUGGAUUUCAUUAUGCUUUGCCCAUAUAAUUUUCCCACUGCUAUCCAUGCUAGCAACAGGAACUUCACGACCAAUUUUUAUCAUUAUUGUCCCUUCAUCAUAUCCAAUCACGACCCUACACAAAAUAAGAUAUUCGAUAUCAUUAACUUGACAUGUGCAGGAAAGAACAAGUCAAAGAAAACCACACACAGCAUGUUUCAGUGAGAGCAAUUCGUUAAGAAAUAGUUAGGCAAAUAAACAAUUUUAUUGUCACAAUGUAUGAAAAUGGGAUAUGAAAAAAGGUAUGGUACUUCCAUAAGACAGUUGAGGAAAUGUGGAGAACACAGCGUGUGCAGUAUUACUGAGCUGUGGAUCUGUGGAGCCCUUGAUAGCAGAUUACAAGAAAUGGCAUUUGGUGUCAGACACUUCAAUAUGGAGAGAGAGAGAGAGAGAGAGAGAGAGAGAGACUACCUUCUUGACCCUUUCAUAUAUCCUAAAGCCCAAACUCGCUCAAGGCCAUAGUUAAGAGUGUUCUCAAGCCUGUAAAAGCAUCAAGAAAAUCAUUAGUCUCUUGUUGGCUUGUUCUAUAACCAAAAAAAAAGUAUUAGUUGCAUGGAAAAAGGAUUGUAAUACUAUUCUAAACCAUGAGUACAAAACAGCAGGUCUUCAUAUAUCACGAGUUCCGGCAUCAAAAAGUAGUUCCAUAAUUUUAUAUGACAAAAUGAAAAUAAAAAAUAUUUUUUUAAAAAAAAAAACUCUUCUCAAAACUGCAGGAGAAAGCAUAACUCCAAGAACCCCUUUUUUCUCAUCACCUCAUUGUUAAAGGAGCUAAUCAUUUCAACAGCUUAUGGACAUAAGCUGCUAUAGUCAUGUGUGUCAUGAUGGUUUAAUGCUCAACAAUUAGUGCCAGGUCUGAUACCAAUCAGCACAGGGUUAGAACCAAUCAUGUAUCUCAUUCACCCCUAUUUAGUUGCAGUGUUUUCUCUGUAUGUGACUGAUUUUUACUGUAUGUUGUAAUACAAAACAAACAGUGCAAGUUAACCUCCUGCUACUGUAACCCUCUCACCAGACUUUUUUUGGGAAGUCAUGUGUACUUAAUCUAAGUAACAAAAUCUCCUGCUACUGUAACCAACAAUUGAACAUUUACACUCUAAAACUGUCGCAAAGUUAAGCCUCGGAUCAAAUAGCAUAAGAGGCUAUCACAGAAACUGCUGAUGAAAUUUAGUGGCUACCAGAUUUGGCCUCAGAAUGAAAGCACACUUGCAUAUACAUAUAUAAGCAAGUGAUGACAGUGAUACUAAAUAAAUGAGUAGCAAUACCUGUAGGUAGUAGAAUGCCACAUUCGAACUGUCCCAUCCUCUGAACCAGUAAUUAUUAUAGGUAGCUCUGGAUGGAAACAUACAGCAGACACAUUAUGUGCAUGUCCUUCAAGUGUUUGAACGCAACUCUUUGUUUGGUAGUCCCAAACCUGAUUUUGACCAAUAAUGUCAUCAGUGUACAAUAAAUGAUCACAGGAGUACAAUUCAGUGCAUAUGACAAACCUUUGCAGUCUGAUCAUCAGAGCCAGUAAUUAAGUAUGGUCGAUCACCACCAGUGAAGUAAUCAACACAGUUCACACCUUUUGAAUGGCCAUCUAGUGUGAAAUUUGGGUCAGGGGAACCAAGACUCCAUAUCUGAUAUUGACAAAAAUUAGGAUAUCACCAUUAAGUUAUGAAAAAGCUAAUGGCAGCAAAUAAUACAAUAUUGUGGCCAACCAGAACUUUUAAAGCGGAGAUAACACAAACCUUUAUUGUGCGAUCCAGGGAAGCACUGGCAAAGGUGUUGGUAUCUUUUGGGUUAAAUGUAACUUGCAUCACAUAGUGAGAAUGCCCUUCGAAUAUUUGAGUACACACCCAGCCUUUAUCCCAAUCCCACAGCUUAAUCAGCAUGUCAUCGGACGAUGAUAGCACAAAGGGCUGCGUUGGAUGAACAGCCACACACCUAAUGUAAUCAGUGUGAGCUUCAAAAACCUUGACCUUGUCCAUUGUGUUAUAGUUGUACACACGGAUGAACAUAUCGUCAGCACCAGCAACAACCCAUUGCUUACGUGCAAUAAAUUUAGCCGAACGAACUGAAAUUGUUAAAGAAUAUUAGCAUAGCAUGAUCUAAACCUCAGGGAAGAGAAGCAAGCAGAAAGUUGGGUGAGCAUACCUGGUAAAUCCGUGACUUCAAAUGAUUUCACCAUUGUCUGGGGAUGAGUUGAUAAAAUGCCAUCAGUUAAAGUUUAUGACCAAACCAACCAGGUAAUAUUUCUGGACUUUAAAAGUAAUGAGAUCAUGGAUUCACAAGGUGUGCAUGUUUCUCUUUUCUUCCUUCCAGUACUGGGGUUUAAUUCUGUGUUUGCUCUAUUCCAUUCCUUAUUCUUCCUUCCAGUACUUGGGUUUAAUUAUGUGUCUGCUCUAUUCCAUUCCCUAUCUGUGGUUCACUAGUCUGUCAACCAUUUACAAGCUGCAUAUAAAUUCGGCACAUGCAACUAAAACCCAUCCAUCUCAGCAUCCAUCAGGGAGGUGCUAAUCAUUACGCUUUUUGCAAAUGCAAUUAAAUCCAAAUUGUUCCUAUUAGUUUUAUGUAACCACUAGUCUUUCCUUUACUCUAUUGCUGGCAUAUCACUAAGUUCAUUAUUGUGUACACCCAAUAUGCCCGCGCCUUGACCUCUAUAGUAAAUGCAAUGUAUGCAAGUAAUGGCUAAUCAUUAUAGCGUAAAACGUUCAUCCAACAACCCAAUUUAGUAUAAAAUAAUAGGCAUAAGCUACCGUGAAGCAUGAACAAUCACCUACCUGAGUCUGGUAGUUCCAUACACAAACGCUUCCCGAGUACAGACUCGACAAAAUCCUGCAUUCCGCCACAUAGCAUAAUGUGAUUAGCCAUGGUUCAGACGAAGCACUCAUAAUUCACGUAGCGUUUCGGUACACAAAACCAGCCACUCACCAUGGCUCUGUCGGAUGCAGAUCCACGGACUUCACCCUCUCGGACCUCUGCGCGAGCUUCCUCUGAUCAAAGCAAACAGAGAACCACCAUCAGCGACGCGGCCCAAAAGCAUUUACCGCCGAGACAAAACGAGGAGCAGAAAGCCAAACGGAUCCGAGGAAGAUGGGUUGAGAUUACCUUGAUAUCCAACCGGAGCGGCUGCCGGAGCACGCCCAUCGCCCGCCCACCAACACCACAGACAGAAAAAAAAAGGCAAUCACAUCAGUACACAACGCCAGAAAGCACCAGAUCCACGCGGAUUUCAACCAGCCCCGCCGCGGAUCUCGCGAGCCGCCGCGGCACAGCCCAACGGGUGCGAUCUCGCCUCGCGUACGCGGCGGCGAAGUAGCAAGGCGGGAGCUGGAAGAGGUGUUCGGUGCGGAAGACGAGAGAGAGAGAGAGGCACGUGCACGUACCAUGGUGGCGCCCGCGACGGCUACGGAGGCAGCGGCGAAGCGAGGAGCGCGACUGGCGGAGGUGCGGCCGUGGAGGCGGCGCUUCUAGGGCUUGCGUAGCGAGGGGGCGGGUGGGAGUGUGAGGAGCGCGGCGGCGCGGGCGGUGGCCUCUCGCCGGACCGGGAGGUGCAGGCGCGCCGCGCGGGGAGAGGGGAGGAGAUUUGCGAGUGCGGGCCUGCGUGGGGAGACGAUUCCGGUGGAGAGGGGAGUGGAGAGGUAGAAAACGGGCUAACGGGUCUCGUAGCUA
rnacentral:lncRNA from 1 species